CAUCUUUUGUGAAAACAGUCACGUCUUGUUGU
rnacentral:misc_RNA from 1 species